rnacentral:rRNA from 1 species
UGGGGAAUUUUGCGCAAUGGGCGAAAGCCUGACGCAGCAACGCCGCGUGAGUGAUGAAGGUCUUCGGAUCGUAAAGCUCUUUCGGCUGGAACGAAAACAUCGGAGCUAAUAACUCCGGUUUUGACGGUACCGGAAGAAGAAGCACCGGCUAACUCUGUGCCAGCAGCCGCGGUAAUACAGAGGGUGCGAGCGUUGUUCGGAAUUAUUGGGCGUAAAGCGCGUGUAGGCGGUGUCACAAGUCGGGUGUGAAAGCCCUCGGCUUAACCGAGGAAGUGCGCUCGAUACUGUGACGCUAGAGUGCCGGAGAGGGUGGCGGAAUUCCGGGUGUAGAGGUGAAAUUCGUAGAUAUCCGGAGGAACACCAGUGGCGAAGGCGGCCACCUGGACGGACACUGACGCUG